AGGGUAAGAAUUAUUAGUUUAGAUUAAAAAAAAUAUUUUUAUUAGAAGUAUAGUUAUAGAAUAUAUUAUAUUAAUGAUAGUGAAAUAGUAUAGUGAUAGACUUUUGAAAUAAUUGAAAACUAAGUUAAUUAAAAGAAGAAUUAAUUUUUUGUACCUUGUGUAUCAGGGUUUAUUAAAAAGAUAUUAAGGAUUUAGUUAUCUCGAAUUAUUAAGAGCUAAUUCUAUAUAAAUUUAAUUGUAACAUAAAUUUUUAUAAUAUAGAGUUAGAAAUGAAACGUUAGUCGUUUAUUAAGAUAUCUAGUUUUUUAAGAAAUGAAUUUAAUUCAGCUAUUUUAGUAUUUUGUAUUAAGUCUUUAAUAUAAAAUUUAAAAUAAGUAAUACUUUAAGGGAUAAGCUUUAAAGUAAAUCAUUAUAAUUUAAUUAAUUAGAGAAGGAUUUGUAGGAUUGAAAAUUUUUAUCUUUAGUUUGUUAUAAUUAGUUCUUUUAUAAAUAAGAUUUAUAUUGAAUUUAAAUUGUUUAUUAAAAUGAGUUAUAUAAUAUAUUAUUAUAUGAAAUAAUGGUAGAAUUAGUAUAGUAUUUUGUUUAAUUAAUUUUAAGAUCAGAGGUUAAGUUAAGGAACUCGGCAAAUUAGCUUCCCGCCUGUUUAUUAAAAACAUGUCUUUUUGAUUAUAAUUUAAAGUCUGGCCUGCCCAAUGAGGAGUUAAAUGGCCGCGGUAAUUUGACCGUGCAAAGGUAGCAUAAUCAUUAGUUUUUUAAUUGAAAGCUGGUAUGAAUGGUUGGACGAGGGAGCGACUGUCUCAAUUUAAAUGAAAUAGAACUUUAUCUUUAAGUAAAAAAGCUUAAAUGAUUUUAAAAGACGAGAAGACCCUAUAGAGUUUUAUAUAUAUAGUUAUACAGGUAAAUUAGAAUUUAUAGAUAUGUAUAAUUAUCUGUAUUUUGUUGGGGCGACAGAAAAAUUGAAUGAACUUUUUUUAAAUUAUAACAUUAAUUUAUGAGUCAAUGAUCCGUUAGUUAACGAUUAUAAGAUUAAAUUACCUUAGGGAUAACAGCGUAAUUUUUUUUGAGAGUUCUAAUCGAAAAAAGAGUUUGCGACCUCGAUGUUGGAUUAAAAUUAAUUUUUGGUGUAGGGGCUAAAAGAUUAGGUCUGUUCGACCUUUGAAAUUUUACAUGAUCUGAGUUUAAACCGGCGUGAGCCAGGUUGGUUUCUAUCUUUAAAUAAUGAGGAUAUUUUAGUACGAAAGGACCAGAUAUUUGUAAUAGUUAUUAUAUAUUGAAUAUGAUUA
rnacentral:rRNA from 1 species